rnacentral:lncRNA from 1 species
AGAGAGAAAAAGGCGAGCGAGAGAGACUUAACGCGUGAGUUCCGUCGACCGGCGCGUGGUGGCUCGUUCAGCACCGCCGCCGGUCACAAUCUCGGUAUUUCUUCCUCUGUGUGGUUCUAGUUUGGUUUGUGACUGUGACUGUGACUCAAUUUUGAGAGAUGUGCUUCAAUCAAAUCAAUGAAACCCUAGAUCUGUUGUAGAUUUUUGAUAAAAGCUCCGGAUCUGAUGAUUCACGGUGUGGUUUAGUCACAAGGCUUUUGUUUAGAAAUCUGUGCUUGGAUUUGGUGAAUUUUGUUGUGUUGCAUAUCUCUGGAUUUCUUGUGUGGCUCUCUCCUUUUCAGUUUUAAUCUAAGUGGGUGGAGUUUGUCGUGGAUUCCUCUGAUCCGUCUUUAUGCCAUUCGUGGUCUGUGCUCUUGGUGCUCCGGAUUAGGUGGGCUUGGCUCCUAGUUGCUGGUUCAGAUCUUGUGGAGAUUUGAUUUUGGUGUGGCUUCAUUACUUGGCGUUUCUCAGUCUUGUACGACUCAUCUGUUUCCGGAGGUUGAUUGAAUCUGAAGGUUCUCCCUUACCGGUUUGUGAAGCUUGUGUUACUUGGUUCUUGAGGUGUAUCCUCGUUGUACUAGGAGGGAGUGGUUUUACGGUGGUUUGGCCAGGGGCAUUCCCGUUUAACA